AAGUCGUAACAAGGUUUCCGUAGGUGAACCUGCGGAAGGAUCAUUAAUGAAUAUCUAUGGCGUUUGGUUGUUGCUGGCUCCUCGGAGCAUUUGUGCACGCCCGUCAUUUUUUCAUCCAUCCACCUGUGAACCCAAUUGUAGAUCUGGAUAACUCUCGCCUUCUAUUUUGAAGCGGAUACGAGGAUUGCUGUGUCGCAAGGCCCGGCUCUCCUUGAAUUUCCAGGUCUAUGUCUUUUUUACACACCCCAACUGAAUCAUAUUGAAUGUAGUCAAAUGGGCUUCUAUGCCUAUAAAACACUAUACAACUUUCAGCAACGGAUCUCUUGGCUCUC
rnacentral:misc_RNA from 1 species